UACGUAGGCAGCGAGCGUUGUUCGGAGUUACUGGGCGUAAAGGGUGUGUAGGCGGUUGUUUAAGUUUGGUGUGAAAUCUCCCGGCUCAACUGGGAGGGUGCGCCCGAAUACUGAGCGACUAGAGUGCGGGAGAGGAAGGUGGAAUUCCUGGUGUAGCGGUGAAAUGCGUAGAUAUCAGGAGGAACACCGGUGGUGUAGACGGCUUUCUGGACCGUAACUGACGCUGAGACACGAAAGCGUGGGUAGCAAACAGG
rnacentral:rRNA from 1 species